CUUGGUCAUUUAGAGGAAGUAAAAGUCGUAACAAGGUUUCCGUAGGUGAACCUGCGGAAGGAUCAUUACAAGUGAGGCUACCGAACGUUGGAAACAGCGGUUAGGAGCUUACACCCACCCGUGUUUACAUACUAUUGUUGCUUUGGCGGGCCGUGGCCUCCACUGCGGGCUCUGCUCGUGUGUGCCCGCCAGAGAACCAAACUCUGAAUGUUAGUGAUGUCUGAGUACUAUCUAAUAGUUAAAACUUUCAACAACGGAUCUCUUGGUUCUGGCAUCGAUGAAGAACGCAGCGAAAUGCGGUAAGUAAUGUGAAUUGCAGAAUUCAGUGAAUCAUCGAAUCUUUGAACGCACAUUGCGCCCUGUGGUAUUCCGCGGGGCAUGCCUGUUCGAGCGUCAUUUAACCACUCACGCCUAGCGUGGUAUUGGGGCACGCGGUCUCCGCGGCCCUCAAAAUUAGUGGCGGUGCCGUCUGGCUCUAAGCGUAGUACAUACUCCCGCUAUAGAGUUCCCCCCGGUGGCUCGCCAGAACCCCCAAUUUUUUACAGGUUGACCUCGGAUCAGGUAGGGAUACCCGCUGAACUUAGGCAUAUCAAUAAGCGGAGGA
rnacentral:rRNA from 1 species